rnacentral:tRNA from 1 species
UCCUCGGUAGUAUAGUGGUCAGUAUCCCCGCUUGUCACGCGGGAGACCGGGGUUCGAUUGCCCGCCGGGGAG